rnacentral:rRNA from 1 species
GAUGAACGCUGGCGGCGUGCCUAAUACAUGCAAGUCGAGCGAACAGAUGAGGAGCUUGCUCCUCUGACGUUAGCGGCGGACGGGUGAGUAACACGUGGAUAACCUACCUAUAAGACUGGGAUAACUUCGGGAAAACGGAGCUAAUACCGGAUAAUAUAUUGAACCGCAUGGUUCAAUAGUGGAAGACGGUUUUGCUGUCACUUAUAGAUGGAUCCGCGCCGCAUUAGCUAGUUGGUAAGGUAACGGCUUACCAAGGCGACGAUGCGUAGCCGACCUGAGAGGGUGAUCGGCCACACUGGAACUGGGACACGGUCCAGACUCCUACGGGAGGCAGCAGUAGGGAAUCUUCCGCAAUGGGCGAAAGCUUGACGGAGCAACGCCGCGUGAGUGAUGAAGGUCUUCGGAUCGUAAAACUCUGUUAUUAGGGAAGAACAAAUGUGUAAGUAACUAUGCACGUCUUGACGGUACCUAAUCAGAAAGCCACGGCUAACUACGUG